rnacentral:rRNA from 1 species
AUUAGUGGCGAACGGGUGAGUAACACGUGGGCAAUCUGCCCUGCACUCUGGGACAAGCCCUGGAAACGGGGUCUAAUACCGGAUACGACUACCGACCGCAUGGUUGGUGGUGGAAAGCUCCGGCGGUGCAGGAUGAGCCCGCGGCCUAUCAGCUUGUUGGUGGGGUGAUGGCCUACCAAGGCGACGACGGGUAGCCGGCCUGAGAGGGCGACCGGCCACACUGGGACUGAGACACGGCCCAGACUCCUACGGGAGGCAGCAGUGGGGAAUAUUGCACAAUGGGCGAAAGCCUGAUGCAGCGACGCCGCGUGAGGGAUGACGGCCUUCGGGUUGUAAACCUCUUUCAGCAGGGAAGAAGCGAAAGUGACGGUACCUGCAGAAGAAGCGCCGGCUAACUACGUGCCAGCAGCCGCGGUAAUACGUAGGGCGCAAGCGUUGUCCGGAAUUAUUGGGCGUAAAGAGCUCGUAGGCGGCUUGUCACGUCGGAUGUGAAAGCCCGGGGCUUAACCCCGGGUCUGCAUUCGAUACGGGCAGGCUAGAGUUCGGUAGGGGAGAUCGGAAUUCCUGGUGUAGCGGUGAAAUGCGCAGAUAUCAGGAGGAACACCGGUGGCGAAGGCGGAUCUCUGGGCCGAUACUGACGCUGAGGAGCGAAAGCGUGGGGAGCGAACAGGAUUAGAUACCCUGGUAGUCCACGCCGUAA